GAUGAACGCUGACAGAAUGCUUAACACAUGCAAGUCUACUUGAACUUCGGUUUGGGUGGCGGACGGGUGAGUAACGCGUAAAGAACUUGCCUCACAGAUAGGGACAACAUUUGGAAACGAAUGCUAAUACCUGAUAUUAUGAUUUUAGGGCAUCCUAGAAUUAUGAAAGCUAUAUGCACUGUGAGAGAGCUUUGCGUCCCAUUAGCUAGUUGGAGAGGUGACGGCUCACCAAGGCGAUGAUGGGUAGCCGGCCUGAGAGGGUGAUCGGCCACAAGGGGACUGAGACACGGCCCUUACUCCUACGGGAGGCAGCAGUGGGGAAUAUUGGACAAUGGACCAAGAGUCUGAUCCAGCAAUUCUGUGUGCACGAUGAAGUUUUUCGGAAUGUAAAGUGCUUUCAGUUGGGAAGAAAAAAAUGACGGUACCAACAGAAGAAGAGACGGCUAAAUACGUG
rnacentral:rRNA from 1 species